rnacentral:rRNA from 1 species
AGAAAUGACUGCUAAUACCGCAUAAGCGCACAGUCUCGCAUGGGACAGUGUGAAAAACUGAGGUGGUGUGAGAUGGAUCCGCGUCUGAUUAGGCAGNUGGCGGGGUAACGGCCCACCAAACCAACGAUCAGUAGCCGGCCUGAGAGGGUGAACGGCCACAUUGGGACUGAGACACGGCCCAAACUCCUACGGGAGGCAGCAGUGGGGAAUAUUGCACAAUGGGGGAAACCCUGAUGCAGCGACGCCGCGUGAGUGAAGAAGUAUCUCGGUACGUAAAGCUCUAUCAGCAGGGAAGAAAAUGACGGUACCUGACUAAGAAGCCCCGGCUAACUACGUGCCAGCAGCCGCGGUAAUACGUAGGGGGCAAGCGUUAUCCGGAUUUACUGGGUGUAAAGGGAGCGUANACGGCAGCACAAGUCUGGAGUGAAAUCCCGGGGCUUAACCCCGGAACUGCUUUGGAAACUGUGCGGCUGGAGUGCAGGAGGGGUAAGCGGAAUUUCCUAGUGUAGCGNUGAAAUGCGUAGAUAUUAGGAGGAACACCGGUGGCGAAGGCGGCUUACUGGACUGUAACUGACGUUGAGGCUCGAAAGCGUGGGGAGCAAACAGGAUUAKAUANCUCUGCUNGUUCACGNCGUANACGAUGAUUACUAGGUGU